rnacentral:pre_miRNA from 1 species
CAUAUACUCCCUCCGUUCGAAAAUACUUGUCAUCAAAAUGAAUAAAAAGAGAUGUAUCUAGAACUAAAAUACGUCUAGAUACAUCCCCUUUUAUCCAUUUUGAUGACAAGUAUUUCCGGAUGGAGGGAGUAGUAA